GGGACGGUGGGAGAAAUGGAUAGUAUGGAUAUCAUGUUGUUAUUAUCACUACUAGGUAAAGGAAUAAGAGUGCGGCAUCCAUUCAAGGUCACUCUGUGGUGUCACAUUCUGUUGUUGUUUUUUUGUGUUAUAAUUUCUUGUGUUUUGGGAGUACUAGAGAGUAGCAUUGAUAGUUAGAGCUUGGAAGGGUGUGCAACAUGGCAAUUGAAAGUACAAAGAGAACUACGGACAGAGAAGAAAGUGGAAAAAAUGUGAAAGCUAAACGUAAUUUGGAACCACCAUCCAUAGUAAUCGUUAGUAAUAUGGAGCCUAUGAAAUUGGAGAUCUGCUAGAUGCUAAGAAGAAUACGAGAUUUUUAAAAUGUACAAAUAUUUUAGUUCUUGCGAAGGUCAGAUAGCUUGCUGUGAUUUUCAUUUUACUUAUUCUGUAAUUCCUUUCAGAAUAAACCUCUAUAAGGGAAUUCGAACAUAGAAAAAGAUUAAGUGCAUGAGCUUUACUUGUUAGGAUCACAUAAUUAACUAUAUUCCGAACCACUGAAACACUAAUAAAUACUACAAUACUUUCUUCUAGUAACAAUACUCCUUCAACAAUUGAUAACAACAAUGUGCAACCCUGCACUCUCAAAAGACUGCUUAAAACAUAAUAAUUUCCAUCCAACACCAGAAAUAAUAGACUUCACUCCAACCAAUGAGAAUUCACAAAAUUUUUGUAAUCACCAACUUCUUUUGUCAUAAUACACAUACAGCUCUCAAUAAACAACAAUCAUAAUCUUCCAUCCAUAAUCAAUCUUUCAAUAACUUCUCAUAUAAUUCAAUCACUCAAUACUCAAAUUACAUAAUCAAUAACUCAUAAAUCAAUCUUUGAUUUAUUCCACAAACUCACUUCUCAAUAUUCAAAAACUAUCCAU
rnacentral:lncRNA from 1 species